UGCGAUAAGUAAUGUGAAUUGCAGAAUUCCGUGAAUCAUCGAAUCUUUGAACGCACAUUGCGCCCUCUGGCAUUCCGGGGGGCAUGCCUGUCCGAGCGUCAUUACGCACCCUCAAGCCCGGCUUGUGUGAUGGGCCCCGGCGUCUCGUUCGCGAGACGGGCCCGAAAGGCAGCGGCGGCGUCGACCCGAUCAGCCCGAGCGUAUGGGGACUUCUGUCACACGUUCGCGGUGCGGACCGGCGCCUGCUUGACUUUUCUGAUUAUCCAGGUUGACCUCGGAUCAGGUAGGGAUACCCGCUGAACUUAAGC
rnacentral:misc_RNA from 1 species